ACACACAAAUUCAUAGAUAUUAAAUAAUUAAAACAGCAGACUAAGACACGGUCUAGAAGGAAGUCUGUGACUCCGAGUCGGCCUGUGUGUGAACCUGAAAAAGAGUCUCCUGGAUGGUCGUGGUGGUCUCGUUUCCCCGUCCGAGAUACCUGCCCCCGGACUCCAUUCCGUGCCAUCUUGGUAACACAGAUUGAAAAGCUAAGAAAUACAUCUGCCAGAAUCCACUGCCAUCCAUCUUCUGGUUUAAGUUCCUUUAAUGAGGAAACCCAAUCCACACUGGAACAAGUCUUUUCAAGACAUGGAUGUAAUUUGGUGAAUAGCUUUGCUUACAUCAAAAUAUGCCCGAGGGCUAACUCCAGGAAAUCAUAACUGAGAUGCAGCAUGGUGUGCUCUUAGUCUCUGCAGUUUUAUGGAGAAGCACAGUGGAAAGUGGAAGAGAGAAUCUACUAAUGUAGACUCUUUAGUAGGUAGAGGUCACCAAAGGAAAGGGGAGCUCCCUGGGGAUGGACUGUGGAGAGGCUGUCAUCUCCCUGAAUAGUCUGUAAAAUUUGAAACAGGUGAGCAUAGUCGGGGGAGGGGACAACCCACAGUUUCACCAAUCCUCAAAAAUCAUAACUUAGAAAAAGUUCAGGACGACCUAGGUAGAAGUUUAACCACCUAGUUUGGGAUUCCCAGAGUUUAUCUGUUGAGUUACUUCUUUGCUCCUCAUCUCCCAAGUCCUCUGGUACAUAUCUGGUAGAAGUACCUGCUAAUGGAGAAGCGUGAUGGGCAGCCAAGAGGAUCCACAUGAAUUGUGGAGGACACGUACGCUGCUAUCUGCCCACAUCUGUGGCUUUUUCCAUCUCUUCCCUUGUAGGAAAUUCUCCAAGACACAAAAAAAGUAGAGAAAGAGUCAGGGGUGUCUAUGGGAGAACGAUCUCCCUUUCACAUGUGUCCAGCAAAGCCGACUUUCAAGAGCCCCUGAUUAAGGGAGAAAGGCAGUGCCAGAGCAGGUCAGGCUCUCCGAGGCGCUCAGAAUGUCUAGGGCUCCCAACAAGAGUCAGUCAAGCUGGAACUCCAGCGGCUUCCCUGAGAUAACACGGGCUCAAGUCUCACUCUUUCCAACUAGCAUUCACCUUGCUUUCCUGGAAGAUAGUU